UUUAAGUACAACCAUAAAUUUUUAUGCCCAACUUUAAUCGUCUAUCUUGUUUAAAUUUUUUUAAUUAGUAUUUUUAUUGUUAUGAGAUGAUAAAAUAUGAAUAGUAUUAUAUGCGUGACUUAUGUUUUUAAUUUUUUCAAAAAAAUUUAAAUAACACGGACAAUCAAAGUUGGGCACGAAAACUCAUAGGUGUACUUAGG
rfam:Oryza sativa (indica cultivar-group) chromosome 1, whole genome shotgun sequence.